rnacentral:rRNA from 1 species
CCCGACUGCUAUUUGGGGUGAGGAUAAGCCAUGCGAGUUGAAUGGGAAACCUAAAGUUCCCAUGGCAAACUGCUCAGUAACACAUGAUCAACUUACCCUAUAGAGAAAAAUAACCUCGGGAAACUGAGGAUAAUGUUUCAUAGUUGAAUUGGCUUGGAAAAGUUUUUCGACGAAAGGGGUAAAAAAAAUGGUUAUUAUCUGCUAUAGGAUAGGAUCGUGUUCGAUUAUGGUUGUUGGUGAGGUAAUGGCUCACCAAGCCGAUAAUCGAUAGGGGCCGUGAGAGCGGGAGCCCCGAGAUGGGUACUGAGACAACGACCCAGGCCUUACGAGGCGCAGCAGGCGCAAACCUCCGCAAUACACGAAAGUGUGACGGGGUUACCCAAAUUGUUCAAUUUUGAACUGAGGUAGGUGAGUAAUGUUCCCUACUAGAAAGGAGAGGGCAAGGCUGGUGCCAGCCGCCGCGGUAAAACCAGCUCUUCAAGUGGUCGGGAUAAUUAUUGGGCUUAAAGUGUCCGUAGCCGGUUUAGUAAGUUCCUGGUAAAAUCGGGUAGCUUAACUAUCUAUAUGCUAGGAAUACUACUAUACUAGAGGGCGGGAGAGGUCUGAGGUACUACAGGGGUAGGGGUGAAAUCUUAUAAUCCUUGUUGGACCACCAGUGGCGAAGGCGUCAGACUGGAACGCGCCUGACGGUGAGGGACGAAAGCCAGGGGAGCGAACCGGAUUAGAUACCCGGGUAGUCCUGGCCGUAAACGAUGCAUACUAGGUGAUGGCACGGCCAUGAGCCGUGUCAGUGCCGUAGGGAAACCGUUAAGUGUGCCGCCUGGGAAGUACGGUCGCAAGGCUAAAACUUAAAGGAAUUGGCGGGGGAGCACCACAAGGGGUGAAGCCUGCGGUUC